UAAUACUCCUCUUUUUAGGUGAUCAUGGAACAAACAAGAGUGAUUCUUUCUCUGUCUCCCUAACUUCAUCCUGCAUUUCCUAAUUUUGUUUUAAUCUCAACCAAUUUUGUUUUAAUUCUAACGUACCCUUACCUCUAAAUCUAUAUCUGUCAGAGUCAGAAGCUUUGGUUUUAUAAAAUGUUGACCAUUAAAAUAAAUUUGAACAUUUCCUCCCCAUCUCACCCCCAAACCCUACACCCCUUGAUUGUUUCUUCUUUCUCCUUCUGGUCGUCCUCCCCUCCUCACCACUUUCCUCUUUUUUUUACCAUUUUUUAACAUAUUGCGGCGUUGAAAGUAGGGGAGAUGCAGGAUAAAUCGCAAAUGGAACUGCGGUUAACGGUCGCCGCACUACGAAGUGCGGAUUUGGUGGCUUCGCAGUUGGAUCUGCGGUUGAUGGCAACCACAGGUGGAUCUGCGGUUGGUUCACGGUGGUGCAUGGCCGACGUACUUGGAAGUGCAGUUCUGGUCCUUGAUUGUCUGCAGUUUGAUAUGCGAUUAAGGCGAACCACUCGAUCUGUGGUUGUUUGUUGCCUGGGUGUGUUAUUUGUUUGUUGAGUUAGUAUAUUUUUUUUAAACAAAUUUUUAGUUAUGUUUGUAAAAUAUGAAAUUUUAGUUGUGUU